UACGUAGGGGGCAAGCGUUGUCCGGAAUCAUUGGGCGUAAAGCGCGUGUAGGCGGUCCGGUAAGUCGGCUGUGAAAGUCCAGGGCUCAACCCUGGGAUGCCGGUUGAUACUGUCGGGCUAGAGUCCGGAAGAGGCGAGUGGAAUUCCCGGUGUAGCGGUGAAAUGCGCAGAUAUCGGGGAGGAACACCAAUGGCGAAGGCAGCUCGCUGGGACGGUAC
rnacentral:rRNA from 1 species